rnacentral:lncRNA from 1 species
AGGUUGGGCAGAGAAGUGACUCAGAGCAGCCCUGCAGAGAAGGACUUGGGGGCGUUGGUUGACGAGAAGCUUAACAUGAGCCGGCUUCAGUGUGCGCUUGCAGCCCAGAAACCAACCGUAUCCUGGGCUGCAUCAAAAGCAGCGUGACCAGCAGGUCGAAGGAGGUGAUCCUGCCUCUCUACUCUGCUCUCGUGAGACCUCACUUGGAGCACUGCGUACAGUUCUGGUGUCCUCAACAUAAAAGGACAUGGAGCUGUUGGAGCGAGUUCAGAGGAGGCCACGAGGAUGAUCAGGGGCUGGAGCACCUCCCAUAUGAAGACAGGCUGAGAGAGUUGGGGCUGUUCAGCCUGGAGAAGAGAAGCUGUGUGGAGACCUCAGAGCAGCCUUCCAGUAUCUGAAGGGGGUCUAUAAGGAUGCUGGGGAGGGACUCUUCCUUAGGGACUGUAGUGGUAGGACAAGGGGUGAUGGGUUCAAACUUAAACAGGGGAAGUUUAGAUUAGAUGUAAGGAAGAAGUUCUUUACAUUGAGGGUGGUGAGGCACUGGAAUGGGUUGCCCAGGGAGGUUGUGGAUGCUCCAUCCCUGGCGGUGUUCAAGGCCAGGCUGGACAGAGCCUUGGGCCACAUGGUCUAGUGUGAGGUGUCCCUGCCCAUGUCAGGGGGUUGGAACUAGAUGAUCUUAAGGUCCUUUCCAACCCUAACUGUUCUAUGAUUCUAUGAUUCUAUCUUUGGGCUUCGCCUGACAAUCCUCAAAUUCUGGUGAUUUUAAAGUUCCUUUUUCUCUAACCCUCAGAAGUUAUUACAGUCAAAACCAGAGCUGAGUUGCUGCUAUUGUGGAUGGGAAUUCAACCUGAAAUAAAAGAUUUGCCAAUUUAUAUCUGCUCUCUACAUUUAUGAAGCAGGAUGAUAUUGACAUAUAUGCACAGAGAUAGAGAAAAAUUGAAACCAAACUCCCAUCUCUCUCUACACAUGUCAGUUUUCUGGCCUACUAAUUUGAAAUUAAUUACCAUUUGCAUAACAGCAAGUGAAAGGUUUAACUAAUUCUUUCAAAACCACAUAAAAUUAAAAGUCUUGUGCACAUUCUAUUGACUGGUAUUCUAGGUAUGUUAGACUGAUGGGAAUAGGACACCUUGAAAUGGGUGUAGAAGCUGAAGUCUAUCAGCAAACAAUGGGAAAUCAUUACCUAAAUUACGUGCUUAUGUUUUACUGUAGUUGCCAGGUAAAAUGUUCAUAACAAGAAGUGUUUCUCUGCUGGUAGACAGAAGAAAAACUAGUAUGCACCCACCUAGAAUUAUCUGUCAGAAGACUUCACCCUGAAGUAUUUUCUCUUAUGCUUUCUCCCUCCUUUUCCUCUAUCCUUAAGGAAUGUUUGGGGUGUACCUUCUCCUACUUAUUAACAGUACAGCAAACAAAUUUGACAAGGCAGACAUAAGUGUUCUUGAAAGAUCUAAUACUGGCAUCUAUGUCAACAUUGAACAUGCAGUGUUUCUUUCACAAUUUCAUGCCAUUUCUUCUCAGAUCAAACAUCCCAAGCUGUCCUUUUAAAUUUUCUGUUUACUGAAGCAUUCCAAGAAGAUUUCUUUGAGCAAGUGAAAGAGAAGCAAUGUAUUUACAAGUGGCAUGUCUACACUAAAGAACUAAAAAAACCAGCAACCCACAUACUUGGGAAAUGACCUUUCACUAAAUCCAGUGGUUUCUUUUCUUCCACACUCUUCUUUCUACAGAGGUCCAUUUAGGAUCAAAACCCCUUAGAGGCAGAAGAUGAAACAAGACAGCAUUUCUUCAGGUACAUGAACUGCUUUGACUCCUGUUCACUUCACAGUAGUGAGUAUUAUAUGGUCAUCAAAAAUGCCCAGUUCUACUGAGUCUGAAGCCAUUGCUGAAAAGAAUAAAACCAUUCCAAAAUCCCAUGUGCAUACAUUAAACUCUAGUCCUUUCAUACAGUAUUUAAAACUAUCAUUUGAUUCAGCCAUUAUUUCAUACUGUGCACAUUUUAUGCUAUUGUGAAUCUGCCUCUCUAAUUAAGGAAAUUAUUUUAUUAUGACUGUGAAGAACUUUUUCCACCUCAGGCAGACAUAGCAAAUUGCUGAGCAAGCAACAGUGUUUGAAUUUAACAGGCUUACUUCUACAGAAGUCAGAUACACUUUAAUGAUAGAAGAGGCAAGACCUCGUGUUGGAAACCUGACUACGUACAUCCUUUGCCCAAUAAGCACAUCUUUCUGUGUUUAAGCCUCUGACUAUUGUGUUAGUUCUUUUCAUACUGAGUACUUCAAAAGACUGCCUCAAUUUCACACAUCACAAGGAGAAAAUAACACAUACCAUCUGAAGAAGAAUUUUGAAUAGCUCUGCUGUAUAGGAAGAAUGUUUCUACUAAAAAAAGUAAAAAUGUUUGCCCACAAACUCUGUGAAGAAAAAAAACCCAAAACAUUUCAGUAGACUGCUGACCAGACUAACUUAGCUUUAACUGACAGGAAGGUGUUCAAUUCUUCUGGAUGCUGUUUUACCUCAGCACUGGAAAUAGUGACAGGAACAUUCAUGGGCCUUCAACUCUUGGUGGUCUUAUUCCUGCCUGCAACCAGGCCUAAAACUAUAAUAUACACAAUUCUUGGUUGUGCCUUCCUGCAAGGAGUCAUUUAAAAGCAUUGUGUCCAGAUCUUCCAAUCAGUGCUUUCAAUUUAUUUCUGUUCAUAAACCAAAUGUGUCUGGGAGAUGCCUUGUACAUCCCUGUAUAUGCUAUUAUAUAUGACCUACUCCAUACAGAUUUCUAUUGCAUGAAGAAUGCUUUGCCAAGAGGGUUACUUUACAAUUAAAAAUCAUAAUUUCAGGCUAA